GGGGCUGAUUCUGGAUUCGACGGGAUUUGCGAAACCCAAGGUGCAUGCCGAGGGGCGGUUGGCCUCGUAAAAAGCCGCAAAAAAAUAGUCGCAAACGACGAAAACUACGCUUUAGCAGCUUAAUAACCUGCUUAGAGCCCUCUCUCCCUAGCCUCCGCUCUUAGGACGGGGAUCAAGAGAGGUCAAACCCAAAAGAGAUCGCGUGGAUGCCCUGCCUAGGGUUGAAGCGUUAAAACGAAUCAGGCUAGUCUGGUAGUGGCGUGUCCGUCCGCAGGUGCCAGGCGAAUGUAAAGACUGACUAAGCAUGUAGUACCGAGGAUGUAGGAAUUUCGGACGCGGGUUCAACUCCCGCCAGCUCCACCA
rnacentral:tmRNA from 2 species